UAAGGAAUAUUGGUCAAUGGGCGCAAGCCUGAACCAGCCAUGCCGCGUGCAGGAAGACGGCCCUAUGGGUUGUAAACUGCUUUUGUCAGGGAAUAAACCCCCGCUCGUGAGCGGGGCUGAAGGUACCUGAAGAAUAAGCAUCGGCUAACUCCGUGCCAGCAGCCGCGGUAAUACGGAGGAUGCAAGCGUUAUCCGGAUUCAUUGGGUUUAAAGGGUGCGCAGGCGGAUUGGUAAGUCAGGGGUGAAAUCCCACAGCUCAACUGUGGAACUGCCUUGGAUACUGUCAGGCUAGAGUAUAGUUGAAGUGGGCGGAAUGUGUCAUGUAGCGGUGAAAUGCUUAGAUAUGAGACAGAACACCGAUCGCGAAGG
rnacentral:rRNA from 1 species